rnacentral:lncRNA from 1 species
CUCACGCAGUCGGGCCUCCGCCCCGCCGGGCCGCGCGCACGUGAGCGCGCAGCUCGGCCGGUCUAAUUUUAGCUCUGAGGUGUCAGGGUCGUGUGAGCUUCUGGCACCAUGAAAACACGGAGAAAGGUUAUAGGUCAGUUCCAGUUCUAUUUUUCUGUCCCGUAACCAAGGAACGUGGGAUCUUUAGCCAAUGGAGUCUCACCAUCUUGUUCUGCAUGCAGAAUCCCUAUGCAGACUUCACAGAGAGGAUUACAUUUAUAUUAAAGAAUUUUACAAGUAGAAGAAAACUGCCUGAUCAUGGAAUGGUUGUGAAUUCACCUGACUCGAACACCACAUGGUAUAUGUAUCCCUCAGCCUCCCCAGAGCUGUGAAUGAACGCCCAUGCCCUGCAAGGCUGGACAACUCUCGACGCUUCGGCCUGUCUGCCCCUUGAUGUGCCGCAC